rnacentral:rRNA from 1 species
GACGAACGCUGGCGGCGUGCUUAAUACAUGCAAGUCGAGCGAGGUCCAUCUGGUGGCAACACCAGUGAAGGCCGAGCGGCGAACGGGUGAGUAACACGUGAGCAACCUGCCCCGAAGUCUGGAAUAACAUCGGGAAACCGGUGCUAAUACCGGAUCGCCCCACCUGACCGCAUGAUCGGGUGAGGAAAGAUUUAUCGCUUCGGGGAGGGGCUCGCGGCCUAUCAGCAGUUGGUGGGGUAACGGCCUACCAAGGCGUCGACGGGUAGCUGGUCUGAGAGGACGACCAGCCACACUGGGACUGAGACACGACCCAGACUCCUACGGGAGGCAGCAGUAGGGAAUCUUGCGCAAUGGGCGAAAGCCUGACGCAGCAACGCCGCGUGGGGGAUGACGGCC